UACAGAGGGUGCGAGCGUUAAUCGGAAUUACUGGGCGUAAAGCGCGCGUAGGCGGUUUUGUAAGUCGGGUGUGAAAUCCCCAAGCUUAACUUGGGAACUGCAUUCGAGACUGCAUAGCUAGAGUAUGGGAGAGGGAAGUGGAAUUUCAGGUGUAGCGGUGAAAUGCGUAGAUAUCUGAAGGAACAUCAGUGGCGAAAGCGACUUCCUGGACCAAUACUGACGCUCAUGUGCGAAAGCCAGGGGAGCAAACGGG
rnacentral:rRNA from 1 species